rnacentral:rRNA from 2 species
CCAUGCAAGUCGAACGAUGAAGCCCUUCGGGGUGGAUUACUGGCGAACGGGUGAGUAACACGUGGGCAAUCUGCCCUUCACUCUGGGACAAGCCCUGGAAACGGGGUCUAAUACCGGAUACGAGCUUCCAAGGCAUCUUGGAGGUUGGAAAGCUCCGGCGGUGAAGGAUGAGCCCGCGGCCUAUCAGCUUGUUGGUGAGGUAAUGGCUCACCAAGGCGACGACGGGAAGCCGGCCUGAGAGGGGGACCGGCCUAACUGGGACUGAGACACGGCCCAGACUCCUACGGGAGGCAGCAGUGGGGAAUAUUGCACAAUGGGCGAAAGCCUGAUGCAGCGACGCCGCGUGAGGGAUGACGGCCUUCGGGUUGUAAACCUCUUUCAGCAGGGAAGAAGCGAAAGUGACGGUACCUGCAGAAGAAGCGCCGGCUAACUACGUGCCAGCAGCCGCGGUAAUACGUAGGGCGCAAGCGUUGUCCGGAAUUAUUGGGCGUAAAGAGCUCGUAGGCGGCUUGUCACGUCGAUUGUGAAAGCCCGAGGCUUAACCUCGGGUCUGCAGUCGAUACGGGCUAGCUAGAGUGUGGUAGGGGAGAUCGGAAUUCCUGGUGUAGCGGUGAAAUGCGCAGAUAUCAGGAGGAACACCGGUGGCGAAGGCGGAUCUCUGGGCCAUUACUGACGCUGAGGAGCGAAAGCGUGGGGAGCGAACAGGAUUAGAUACCCUGGUAGUCCACGCCGUAAACGGUGGGAACUAGGUGUUGGCGACAUUCCACGUCGUCGGUGCCGCAGCUAACGCAUUAAGUUCCCCGCCUGGGGAGUACGGCCGCAAGGCUAAAACUCAAAGGAAUUGACGGGGGCCCGCACAAGCGGCGGAGCAUGUGGCUUAAUUCGACGCAACGCGAAGAACCUUACCAAGGCUUGACAUACACCGGAAACGUCUGGAGACAGGCGCCCCCUUGUGGUCGGUGUACAGGUGGUGCAUGGCUGUCGUCAGCUCGUGUCGUGAGAUGUUGGGUUAAGUCCCGCAACGAGCGCAACCCUUGUUCUGUGUUGCCAGCAUGCCCUUCGGGGUGAUGGGGACUCACAGGAGACCGCCGGGGUCAACUCGGAGGAAGGUGGGGACGACGUCAAGUCAUCAUGCCCCUUAUGUCUUGGGCUGCACACGUGCUACAAUGGCCGGUACAAUGAGCUGCGAUACCGUGAGGUGGAGCGAAUCUCAAAAAGCCGGUCUCAGUUCGGAUUGGGGUCUGCAACUCGACCCCAUGAAGUCGGAGUCGCUAGUAAUCGCAGAUCAGCAUUGCUGCGGUGAAUACGUUCCCGGGCCUUGUACACACCGCCCGUCACGUCACGAAAGUCGGUAACACCCGAAGCCGGUGGCCCAACCCUUGUGGAGGGAGCU